UGUAAGCUGGGAGAGCAUUGGUGCUGCAUAGUGAAAUGGCAGGGAGGACUUAAAGCAGUGCUCCAAUCUGCCCAGGCAGCCUGCCUGGAGAAGUGGUAUUUACCAACAGGAGGUGUUUAAAAGAUGUGUGGACUUGGUGAUGGUUGGACGUGGUGAUCUUAAAGGUGGCCUACAUAGCUCUGAGGAACUUCAGCACAUCAUUGCAUCAGGCUGGUUCAAGUGAAACAGUCAUCAGGUUUUUAAUGAGGAAUAUAGUGGUAAUGACGCUGUGAAUGGGCUUUGAGCAGUCUAGGAACUCAAGGUUGGUCUGCUAACAAUCUGUGGCUGCCAGGUGCUUCUCCAGGGGAAAACCAAGACUCUACAUGUCUCACAACCAUUCAUCCGGUACCCAAAUGUUUGCUGGUGAAAGUACAGAGAAGUACCCACUAAGCAGGAGUGACUGAGUAGAGAACAUCUAUCAGCUAUCUGGACUGAGGAGAAGGCUUGACUCUGUACUGACCAGAAGCCCAGUGCUCCAGAGAAACUGUUGAUGGGCACAGCAGCACCUCACCUUUCUAAAGCAUUGCUUGCCAAUGCAUUGCAAAGAGAUAUCAGUUGUUCCUGAAUCUUUAGAUGUCCUAGUAUGUGCUCUAGUACAAUUGAA